AUGCCUGGUUGCGCCAGUGGCUCCAAUCCUACCAGUGCAGCGGUCCUUGCUGCUGAUGCUUCUCAGGCUGACCGGGGUGCUGCCAAGGCUCUGGAUGAUGUUGCUGUUGAUGCUUAUGAUCAGCAGGUAUCCGCUUAUUCCGAUGCUCUCUCUGUGUACCGGGAUGAUCUGUCAGCUUACACUCAGUGGUGCAAUGACGGUGCUCGAGCUGCUGCUGUUCUCACUGCGAGUGUCCUCCCUCAGUUUGCUUCGGAGUUCAUGGGACUUGGCGCAGUUGCAGCGAUGUGGUCUCAUCGAUGUCAGCGCUAUCAGCCCUCUGGUGAUGCUCUCAACCUAUCUGUGGUGCGCCAGGAGCACACACUCCAGCAAGGUGAUUCUUCUGUUGAUGAGUUAUAUUCACAGUGCGCUGCCAUCUGGCGCCAGCUUGACUCUCUUCGGACAGUUGUUUGUGGAACCUGUCGUUAUUGUCAGACUACUCGGUCUGAUCUGAAGUUUCAGCGGGUCCAUGAGUUUUUAUCUCGUCUCCGGUCUGAGUUUGAGCCUUGA
rnacentral:rRNA from 1 species